rnacentral:rRNA from 1 species
AGUGAACGCUGGCGGUAGGCCUAACACAUGCAAGUCGAACGGCAGCACAGUAAGAGCUUGCUCUUACGGGUGGCGAGUGGCGGACGGGUGAGGAAUACAUCGGAAUCUACUUUUUCGUGGGGGAUAACGUAGGGAAACUUACGCUAAUACCGCAUACGAUCUACGGGUGAAAGCAGGGGAUCUUCGGACUUUGCCCGACUCAAUGAGCCGAUGCCGGAUUAGCUAGUUGGCUGGGUAAAGGCCCACCAAGGCGACGAUCCGUAGCUGGUCUGAGAGGAUGAUCAGCCACACUGGAACUGAGACACGGUCCAGACUCCUACGGGAGGCAGCAGUGGGGAAUAUUGGGCAAUGGGCGCAAGCCUGAUCCAGCCAUACCGCGUGAGUGAAGAAGGCCUUCGGGUUGUAAAGCCCUUUUGUUGGGAAAGAAAAGCAGCAGGUUAAUACCCCGCUGUUCUGACGGUACCCAAAGAGUAAGCACCGGCUAACUUCGUG